rnacentral:rRNA from 1 species
CUACGGAGGGUGCAAGCGUUACUGGGAAUCACUGGGCGUAAAGCGCGCGUAGGCGGCUUAUUAAGUCAGAUGUGAAAUCCCCGGGCUCAACCUGGGAACUGCAUCUGAUACUGGUAAGCUAGAGUUUUUGAGAGGGAAGUAGAAUUUCAGGUGUAGCGGUGAAAUGCAUAGAGAUCUGAAGGAAUACCAGUGGCGAAGGCGACUUCCUGGCCAAAAACUGACGCUGAGGUGCGAAAGCGUGGGUAGCAAACGGGAUUAGAAACCCCAGUAGUCC